GGGGUGAAAAGCUCUAAUCUGACUUCUAAUCAGAAUAAGGGGUGGGUAGCGUCACCCUCACCUCU
rnacentral:tRNA from 1 species